UACCAAUAGGGUGUCUGCACUAAAUUCAACGUCAAUAUGGUGACCUCCUGGGAGCGAGGGACCACCAGUUUGUAUUAAGGAGGGGGUGAACUAGCCCAGUUCCAAAAUGGAGCAGGUCAAAAUUCACGUGCUGAUC
rnacentral:sRNA from 1 species